UACGUAGGGCGCGAGCGUUGUCCGGAAUUAUUGGGCGUAAAGAGCUCGUAGGCGGCCUGUUACGUCUGCUGUGAAAUCCCGGGGCUUAACCCCGGGCGUGCAGUGGAUACGGGCAGGCUGGAGGCAGGCAGGGGAGAACGGAAUUCCCGGUGUAGCGGUGAAAUGCGCAGAUAUCGGGGAGGAACACCGGUGGCGAAGGCGGUUCUCUGGGCCUGUACUGACGCUGAGGAGCGAAAGCGUGGGGAGCGAACAGG
rnacentral:rRNA from 1 species